rnacentral:lncRNA from 1 species
UUGAGUACCCCACCUUAGGGCAAUGUAGGCAAAAAUUAGGGAUUUUGGCAAGAGACUGCAUCCGGAUGGUCCUGAUCUUGGAAGCAGUUUUAAACAGUCAUUUGGUUCUGAUUCUUCAUUCUCAACCAAAUACAAGAGCACAGUGGAUUUCAAAGUUGGUAUGGAGAGUAGUGAUCAUUGUAUUCAAUGUAGCCCUUUUCCAUGUAAAUUACCAUUUCUCAAACUUUGUAAAGAUCCAUGGUGUCUCG